CAGGCCGCUAGGUGGCACCACUGGUUACUCCAUUACGCCCUAGCUUGACACUCUCGUCGGUCACAAGUUGAUUUAUUAGUACUUCCUCUCGCCACCAAAAGAUAGCGCCUCAGUCGCGCAGUCACUCCAGUAAGAUCUAAUUUUUUUUAUGCCGGACACCUUCGGGUGGACUCGGUAAUUUUCGGCUCAGAGCCUACCCCCCUCCCAUUCUCUAGAGACCCCGCGCUUAUGAUAUCCUGGUGAGAUCCCGCUCUGGACUUACUUCGGUGCGCGCCUCCUGACUGACUGGUACCGUUUGUAUCUGCGAUCUUCUGCGAAUCAUCGACAUCGUAUAUUAUGUAGUCUUCUCAGACUAAAGGGAUGGAGUCCCUAGCUAAAAUUAUUAACCAGUCAGUAGUUUAGUUGAAAGUAGAGAAACUUAGUAUUUUUAUAUAAAUUAUUUUUUUUUAAUUAAUCAUGAUGACUUCCGUGGCUACCGCGAAUCGUGGUUCGAGUUUGCAGAGACGAGACGCCCUCUCCUGAGCGCCAGGACCAACACCCUGUUUUGACAGGGUUCCAAGUUUGGGGCAACCAAAAUCCUCUGCCAGAACCUCUGGAGUCGGUUCCUGCGCAGAAUCCAACAUCAUUAGGCCUACUACCUUGAUCACCGUCUACCUACAGCCCCGGGUGAUACCCGCAUAAUUCUAUCUUUUUAUUCACGAACCCAAGAUUAGUGUAACCCAGUUAAGACAGCGGACAGUAAAAGGCAGUUCGAGGAGAAGAAAUUUAUAUUAUGUUUUGGAAGGACUAUAUGUACAAUCUUUAAAGUUACUAAUGUUAAUUUCAUUCUUGUUUUUAAAUAUUUUAAUUCUUGUUAUACAUUAAGGGCCGGUCCUAUCGUAAAUAACGUUAAGGAAUAUCAUAUAAUAAGUGUAAUUGUGAGUUAUGUAAAUAAGAUCACUUAUCAAUGAAAAACAGUCUUUACUAAGGAAAAUUUAAUCUAUCAAAAAAAAGAACAAUGAUUAAUAAAAUAAGGAAGUCUAUAGACGUAA